CGGAUUAGAUACCCUGGUAGUCCACGCCGUAAACGUUGGGCACUAGGUGUGGGGGAUUAUCAACGUCUUCCGUGCCGUAGCUAACGCAUUAAGUGCCCCGCCUGGGGAGUACGGCCGCAAGGCUAAAACUCAAAGGAAUUGACGGGGGCCCGCACAAGCGGCGGAGCAUGUGGCUUAAUUCGAGGCGACGCGAAGAACCUUACCUGGGUUGAACUACGCAGGAAAAGCCGUAGAGAUACGGUGUCCGCAAGGGCCUGCGAUAGGUGGUGCAUGGCUGUCGUCAGCUCGUGUCGUAAGAUGUUGGGUUAAGUCCCGCAACGAGCGCAACCCUUGUCCUAUGUUGCCAGCGGGUUAUGCCGGGGACUCGUAGGAGACUGCCGGGGUCAACUCGGAGGAAGGUGGGGAUGACGUCAAGUCAUCAUGCCCCUUACGUCCAGGGCUGCACACAUGCUACAAUGGCCGGUACAAAGGGCUGCUAUUCCGCGAGGAUGAGCGAAUCCCAAAAAGCCGGUCUCAGUUCGGAUUGGAGUCUGCAACUCGACUCCAUGAAGUCGGAGUCGCUAGUAAUCCCGGAUCAGCAACGCCGGGGUGAAUACGUUCCCGGGCCUUGUACACACCGCCCGUCACACCACGAAAGUCGGCAACACCCGAAGCCAGUGGCCCAACCCGUAAGGGAGGGAGCUGUCGAAGGUGGGGUCGGUGAUUGGGGUGAAGUCGUAACAAG
rnacentral:rRNA from 1 species